GAUAAACGCUGGCGGCGUGCCUAAUACAUGCAAGUCGAGCGAACAGACGAGGAGCUUGCUCCUUCGACGUUAGCGGCGGACGGGUGAGUAACACGUAGGUAACCUACCUAUAAGACUGGGAUAACUUCGGGAAACCGGAGCUAAUACCGGAUAAUAUUUCGAACCGCAUGGUUCGAUAGUGAAAGAUGGCUUUGCUAUCACUUAUAGAUGGACCUGCGCCGUAUUAGCUAGUUGGUAAGGUAACGGCUUACCAAGGCAACGAUACGUAGCCGACCUGAGAGGGUGAUCGGCCACACUGGAACUGAGACACGGUCCAGACUCCUACGGGAGGCAGCAGUAGGGAAUCUUCCGCAAUGGGCGAAAGCCUGACGGAGCAACGCCGCGUGAGUGAUGAAGGUCUUCGGAUCGUAAAACUCUGUUAUUAGGGAAGAACAAACGUGUAAGUAACUGUGCACGUCUUGACGGUACCUAAUCAGAAAGCCACGGCUAACUACGUG
rnacentral:rRNA from 1 species